UAUACAGCUAGCACAAGCCGAGCUCCACUUGAAAAUUCUGUUUAUAAAUACCAGCAACUCUCUUAAUCCCUAUUAUCAUCACCAGCACACAUAUAUGUAUUAGCUUGUUGAAUAUUAUAUAUAGUUCAAUGGCCAUAUCAAAGUCCCUGAUUACUUUCAUAUUUGUUGUCAUGAUCUCUCUUCUUCUUCUGCAGGUUGUUCAUAGUGAUGAGAUGACGAUGAGUAGUGGCCGCUCUCUUCUCCAGAUCGAUUGCGGGGCAAAGUGUGCAGAGAGAUGCAAACUAUCAGGGAGGCCAAAUCUGUGCCACAGGGCAUGUGGGACUUGCUGCGGCCGUUGCAACUGCGUGCCACCUGGUACUUCCGGCAACUAUGAUGUUUGCCCUUGUUACGCUAAUCUCACGACCACCGGUGGCAAAAAGAAGUGCCCUUAAUUACUUCUUCAUCUAUAUGCCGAAACAUUCUGCCACUUGCAAUGGAUCAAUAUGCAUCUACAAAUUUGCGUUAUAUGUUAAAUAUUGUAAACGAUCGUGAUGAGGGUUUAUACAUGUGAGUAAUAAAGAAGCACACGUCUAGCUGUGUGGAAUAGAUAAAUCAUGAGUUGAUUAUCAUGAAGAUUGUAUGUAGUUUCAAGAUGUUAAAAGUUAUGUGGUGUUCCACGUGUAUGUAUAGUCUGCUUUUGAGUUA